GGGAAGAUAUUGCACCCCUAGGAGAGACUGGGGGAUGCCCCAUGAUCUCUAGGUGAUUUUUAGACACACUGAGGUUUUUUUUUGCCACAAGGAGGGAUCAGGUGGCCAGCUGCUGGCUGAUUGCCCCUGACAGGUAGCCGGAGGCAGUUGAAGGAAGCCAGAGACUGCUGAAGGGAGCUGGCCACUGAUGAGUAAUUGCUGGUAUUAGGUUUCUUUCUUUACUGCGGCUGGCCUGACAGGGAGGGAAGGAAGCUGAAGCAGCUGAAAAAAAGCCAAAGGUCAGGUUUCUUUCCUGAUUAAAACCUAGAUGCUUUGGGCAGUUGUUAACCCUUUCCUUGAAACUUCUUGGUCUCAAUAAUAGAAAAUCAGCCUGUUUGUCAAACAGCUUGCUUAAGGUUUUAUGGUCCUUACAAGUACAUGCCAAGAAAUGAGAUCUUAAGAUAAGCUCCUGGGAUCGGGGUAGUUUACGUGUCUGUGUCUCUGUUGUUUGUCUUCUGGCUUUUGCUGUUUGUCUCAUGUGUAUUUCUGUAUUUGGACGCAGCAGCAAGGAAGCUGGCUGAUACCAAAGGAGGAGCCUGCCAGAGGACAAAAGUGUGUGAGAGAGGAGGCUGAAGGCAUCAUCAGGACCCACCAGAUCUAAGUUUUGGAGUCUUGCAUGCCUGCAAAAGGUAUCCUUCCCGCCCAUAACAGUAUUUAUUGAGACAGAAGGGUGUUGGAGGCAGCAUCAAUCUGUAUAUUCCAGGUCCACAGCCAGGAUCAAGGCAGAGACCAGAAUCUCCAUCCUAUGUCAUAGGGGGAUUCCUGCUCCAGAGUUGGAGGACAGAGAAGUGGCAGUCAGUGAGCACAGUCUCCAUGAGGAGAAGGAAGGGAAUGACUGGGAAGGAAUUCAAUCCUGAGGACAGAGUGGCGCUUUAAUAGACUCAUUGACUGAUUGAUGGAGAGUCCUUGUAGAGGCCAGAGG
rnacentral:lncRNA from 1 species